GACGGAGGAUGCAAGCGUUAUCCGGAAUGAUCGGGCGUAAAGCGUCCGCAGGUGGCAGUUCAAGUCUGCUGUCAAAGACCGGGGCUUAACUUCGGAAAGGCAGUGGAAACUGAACAGCUAGAGUAUGGUAGGGGCAGAGGGAAUUCCUGGUGUAGUGGUGAAAUGCGUAGAGAUCAGGAAGAACAUCAGUGGCGAAGGCGCUCUGCUGGACCAUAACUGACACUCAGGGACGAAAGCUAGGGGAGCGAAUGGG
rnacentral:rRNA from 1 species